CAGAACCUUACCCUGGAAUAAAGAGGGUGUGAAGAGUUAUGUGUGUUUUAAUGUCAGGUGACCAGUUUGGUUAAACAUCAGUCUGACCACUGAUUCUGCCAAAAUUAGUCCUAUAGAUCAAGCUCAAAGAAUAAAUAUCGUGUUUCCAUAGCAGUGAGCGGAGUAAGUUUUGUGGAAGUAAAGCAUGUGUGCCAAAGCCCAGAAUGAAAGUUGGAACAGUUCGAGUGCAGAAGAGCAAAUUCAAAUUAUUGUUACAUGUUGUCAAUUUCUUACAGUUGUCGUCUAUUUAUGGUGGCAGAAUGAGAAAUCAGUUUGUUGCUCUUGGAAGGAUUUUUAGUCAUGGAAAAAUUCUCACAACUUUUUGGUGAUCCUUUCAUCAAGAUGUCAGUCCCUUUUGGCACAAGCCCAUUGCCUGAAAUGAAACCACCGACAGUUAUUGUCUGUGGGUGAUUCCAAGUAACUUUCUAGCAAUUUUCUUAUUCCGGGAGGUCUGAGCUCUUCAAAGUCUUUUCACAUACUAAUGUAAAAAAAAAUAAAUUUUGAUUGUCUUUUUUUUUUUUAACUGAAAUUAGAGGUGUCUUAUACCUCCUUUUCGGAAAAAUGAAGUUAUUUUCUUUCCUUGAUUAAAACAGGAAUUACUUUGCUGAUCUUUAAGUCUUUACUUAAAGACUUAUCUCUUAUAUG
rnacentral:lncRNA from 1 species